CAAAACUCUCAGGCAUUGUUAACACACCGUCUCCGAAGGGUGGCAAAAUCUGGACCACUCUGAGUGGAAACAUUGCCCAGUGUCUGCUGGUGUUUGCAUGGUGUGUCUCAAAGCUAUUGGGAAACUUGACAAGUGUGUAGAGUGUAUGCAGUGUAGAAGUUCCUUUGGACACCCCAGGAAUGACCCACAAAUUUUAGUAUGCAGGUAAAAAUGAAAGGAGAAGGUGACAAAUCUUCUGUUUGGUGCUACUGAUGUUACUACUGGAAUCUUUGGAGGAGGAGUGGGAGACAGAAGAGAAGAAA
rnacentral:lncRNA from 1 species